rnacentral:rRNA from 1 species
AACGAACGCUGGCGGCAGGCUUAACACAUGCAAGUCGAACGCCCCGCAAGGGGAGUGGCAGACGGGUGAGUAACACGUGGGAACAUGCCCAAAGGUACGGAAUAUUCUCGGGAAACUGGGAGCAAUACCGUAUGUGCCCGAAAGGGGAAAGAUUUAUCGCCUUUGGAUUGGCCCGCGUUGGAUUAGCUAGUUGGUGGGGUAAAAGCCUACCAAGGCGACGAUCCAUAGCUGGUCUGAGAGGACGACCAGCCACACUGGGACUGAGACACGGCCCAGACUCCUACGGGAGGCAGCAGUGGGGAAUCUUGGACAAUGGGCGCAAGCCUGAUCCAGCCAUGCCGCGUGAGUGAUGAAGGCCCUAGGGUUGUAAAACUCUUUCGUGGGGGACGAUAAUGACGGUACCCCAAGAAGAAGCUCCGGCUAACUUCGUGCCAGCAGCCGCCGCAGUAA